AGCAAACGCUGGCGGCAGGCCUAACACAUGCAAGUCGAACGGAUCCUUCGGGAUUAGUGGCGGACGGGUGAGUAACACGUGGGAACGUGCCCUUUGGUUCGGAACAACUCAGGGAAACUUGAGCUAAUACCGGAUGUGCCCUUCGGGGGAAAGAUUUAUCGCCAUUGGAGCGGCCCGCGUCUGAUUAGCUAGUUGGUGAGGUAACGGCCCACCAAGGCGACGAUCAGUAGCUGGUCUGAGAGGAUGAUCAGCCACACUGGGACUGAGACACGGCCCAGACUCCUACGGGAGGCAGCAGUGGGGAAUCUUGCGCAAUGGGCGAAAGCCUGACGCAGCCAUGCCGCGUGAAUGAUGAAGGUCUUAGGAUUGUAAAAUUCUUUCAGCGGGGACGAUAAUGACGGUACCCGCAGAAGAAGCUCCGGCUAACUUCGUG
rnacentral:rRNA from 1 species